rnacentral:rRNA from 1 species
AGGACGAACGCUGGCGGCGUGCUUAACACAUGCAAGUCGAGCGGUAAGGCCCUUCGGGGUACACGAGCGGCGAACGAGUGAGUAACACGUGGGUGACCUGCCCUCAGCUCUGGGAUAAGCCUGGGAAACUGGGUCUAAUACCGGAUAUGACCACAUGUCGCAUGGUGUGUGGUGGAAAGUGCGUUCUUUGUUGAGCGUUUCGGCUGGGGAUGGGCCCGCGGCCUAUCAGCUUGUUGGUGGGGUGAUGGCCUACCAAGGCGACGACGGGUAGCCGGCCUGAGAGGGCGACCGGCCACACUGGGGACUGAGACACGGCCCAGACUCCUACGGGAGGCAGCAGUGGGGAAUAUUGCGCAAUGGGCGGAAGCCUGACGCAGCGACGCCGCGUGGGGGAUGACGGCCUUCGGGUUGUAAACCUCUUUCGACCGGGACGAAGCGCAAGUGACGGUACCGGUAUAAGAAGCACCGGCCAACUACGUGCCAGCAGCCGCGGU